GAUGAACGCUGGCGGCGUGCCUAAUACAUGCAAGUAGAACGCUGAGGGAGGAGCUUGCUCUUCUGGAUGAGUUGCGAACGGGUGAGUAACGCGUAGGUAACCUGCCUGGUAGCGGGGGAUAACUAUUGGAAACGAUAGCUAAUACCGCAUGACAACAGUUAUUGCAUGAUAACUGUUGAAAAGGGGCAACUGCUCCACUACCAGAUGCACCUGCGUUGUAUGAGCUAGUUGGUGAGGUAAAGGCUCACCAAGGCGGCGAUACAUAGCCGACCUGUGAGGGGGAGCAGCCACACUGAGAGUGAGACACGGCCCAGAGGCCUACGGGAGGCAGCAGUAGGGAAUCGGCGGCAAGGGACGGAAGACUGAGCGAGCAACGCCGCGUGAGGGUAGAAGGUUUCCGGAUCGUAGAGCUCUGUUGUAAGAGAAGAACGAGUGUGAGAGUGGAAAGUACACACUGUGACGGUAUCUUACCAGAAAGGGACGGCUAACUACGUG
rnacentral:rRNA from 1 species